rnacentral:lncRNA from 1 species
CAAAGUCUAAGAUUUUUCUUAACCAAUGACCUAAGCAAUGCAGACAAGGUUCGGUUCACAACUUCAGUUUGUCCAUCAGUUUGAGGAUGACAAGUGGUGGAAAACAUCAAUCUAGUUCCUAGUUUAGACCAUAACGUUUUCCAGAAAUAACUAAGGAACUUAGCAUCACGAUCAGAAACAAUAGUCUUAGGCAUUCCGUGCAAUCUAACAAUUUCCCUAAAGAAUAGAUCAGCAACUUGCACAGCAUCAUCAGUCUUAUGACAAGGUAUGAAAUGAGCCAUUUUAGAGAAUCUAUCGACCACAACAAAGAUAGAGUCUCGACCAGAUUUAAGAAUGAAACCAUAAACAACCUCAAAAGGAGAAAAUUUAGUAGAAGAAUGCAAUGAGUGAUUGUAAGCGAAUUCAACAUGAGGCAAACAUUCUUCCCAACGUCUAAGAUUUUUCUUAACCAAUGACCUAAGCAAUGCAUACAAGGUCCGGUUCACAGCCUCAGUUUGACCAUCAGUUUGAGGAUGACAAGUAGUGGAAAACAUCAAUCUAGUUCCUAGCUUAGACCAUAACGUUUUCCAGAAAUAACUAAGGAACUUAGCAUCACGAUCAGAAACAAUGGUCAUAGGCAUUCCGUGCAAUCUAACAAUUUCUCUAAAGAAUAGAUCAGCAACUUGCACAGCAUCAUCAGUCUUAUGACAAGGUAUGAAAUGAGCCAUUUUAGAGAAUCUAUCGACCACAACAAAGAUAGAGUC